UGCAUUGGAUGAGUCUGACCAUGAGGAAGGAAUCGGAGGAGCCUCAUCACCACCUUUCUGGCAUCAAAGUGAGAGAGGUGAUUACGAAGCUGCAGGCAACUUCAUGGUCCCACCCUCAUCAAGCCCUCCAGAUUUCUCACGUCUUAUACAAAGAGAGCUUCGCUUUGUAAAGAAGCAACUGAAAACAAUAACCAA